rnacentral:lncRNA from 1 species
ACUUCCCAAACCUUUUACUAUAAUGCCCCUUGUCCCUUUCCCUAAUUGGAACUUCUCUGCAUACUAGAUAGAAAAAGGAUCUUUCAUAUUUCCAAAAGCAUUCAUACCGUUAUACAACGAGGGCAUAAGCAUGAGAUUUUUUCGUUUCUUUGAAUAUUGGUUCAUCUAUGUUCGUAUAAAUUUUCGAAGAAUUCCAAGAAAAGGUGGGUGUGUAUCAAACUACCUUUACUCUAGCCUCUAGGAUAUGUGAUUUAUUAAAAACCGUUAUUAACAUCAAGGAAUAAAUAACUAAAACAUAUGACAAAACCAUAUGUUAUUUCUGGAUAUAUAUUUGUCUUGACGGAAAUGUCUGUUUCCAGCUGAAAUAUAUAGAGUUGGAUUUCCCCCACUAGAGGAAUAAGGAUUUACUUUAAGAAAGCUUCCAAUCUGUUGAGUUUCAACACAAUGAAAGAGUUACUUCGAGCUGACAAGAGGAUAUAAAGGGGGUUCUUUUCCAAAAAAGCUUUGAUGCCUAAGCCAUACAUCAAUAAUCGAUUAGGUAUGUUAACUCCAAAAAUGAGUAUGGGUUGUUACAUGAGGAGUCCCGUCUGAGGAUCAGGACUCUCAUCUGUUGGAGGAGUGCAGUUAGAAUUCUCCUCUGGCCGCCCAUUCAAAUAUCAUCUAUGUUUGGAACCACAUUAAGCCUUAGUCAGGGCGGUCGAGCAGGAUCCAGCAAGAUAAUAAAAAAUGAAGACUAAUCGGUGUUUUGUAAUUAUAUAUUAGUUUUGAAAUUUUUCCUGUGUAUACAUAUACAUAUGAUAUUAUGAGCUUUUAUAUUUGUGUUUUUGUUGAUUUUUUUUUUCUUGUGUUGGGAUUGCUCUUUGAAGCUUUAGUCUAUGGAUCACUUCUGGUGGAACAUAAAGAACGUGAUUGUACUCAUAUUCAUAGAUGUAGUAGAUUUUUGAGUGAAUACUGAAUAACACAUUGUAAUUUUAUUCCUCCUGUUUAAAGGGCUUUCCAAAGUAAGUUUUAUAUCAUUUACUUUUCCGCUUAUACUAUAUUUUGAAAUUAUCUAACUAUUUUUAUAACAGGUUCACACAGAUGCAAAAACUUUGUUUUCGUUGUCAAGUUUUAACCCGAUUAUCUAACUGCAAGUGCAUACUAAAGUAUAGUGAACUAUACAGUAGUAAUACGGGACUAAAUCCACAAGGACCGAUGACCACACGUAGAACAGCAGACAAGUUACUAGCUAAAGCGAGAAAAGAGAUUGUUUGCUUGGUUUUCAGUUUAUUAAUUCAAAUAAGCAAGAACAAAAGGUAAUUAAAACGAGUUUGUAAACAAUUAAAACAAGUUUUGUGGGAAAUGAGAAUUUUCAGGGAUCUCUCUUCAGUAAUGAUCAUGCAACAAACGGAUAGGAAAACAAAGUGCAGCAACAUCUUGAACUCAAAAUCACAAUAUUAGAGUUAACCUACUUCCGUAGUGCUAACACCCUAUGUCCAUAAUCCUAAAUACUAGCUUCCACUGUAUUUCAUAUUUAAAAAAAGCUUUAGGUUCAGUUUUGAUUAGUUCACAAGGCGCAAUAACAUCAACUUUUGUUGGUUAAUGAAACCUUGCUCAUUUAUAUCUGGAAUUCAAAUAACAUUUUGGUGCCAUGAAAAUCCUAAAACCAGAGGCUAUGUGAUGAAACAAGUCUCAGCCUUAAGUACAUCAGUAGACAAAGAUCCAUAAUCAUAAAUCCUUAUUCAAAUUUUUUUAGAUCAAUACAUUGAGAAACCCCCUAUGAGAACCUCUUAACCCAACCAGGAGACUACUCACUCAUAAUCAGACAAUAAUUAACAAAAUGAAAUCAGAAAAGAAAACAUCAUAUUAUUGUAUUGAAAAUGAGAUAAGGGUUAAGAAGAUCUUCUCCAAAUUAGUACAAGAAGAUUCAUCUUCCAAAAGUCUACAAAAUGAUCCAGGUAUAUCACAAAACUCUAAGAAAUUACCCUCGGUCUCUCUCUGACGUCAGGAACUAAGAACAGAUGAAAAGUACUGAAUAAACUCGGUUUUUAGGUUUUUACGUCUUCAAAACGCGUCUCUUCACUAAAAAGGAAGUUGCUUCGCUACGCCACCGAUCGAUCUAUCCAUGUGAUAUGGAUCGAUCGAUCAUUGCCAUGGAUCGGACGAUCUCUUGUUUACAGAGCGUUCAAUUUCUUUUACAUUCGAUCGAUCAAUCUAAAGAUACCAGCUGAUCGAUCGAUCUAAGCUGAUCUAUCGAUCUAAAGAUGCCAGAUCCAUCGACAAGAAUCGGGUUAUUAACACAUUCGACCAGUGAUCUAUUUUUGCUCCAAAUUCACUUCCUAAAACGUUAUUUCCUAUCAAGCUAACAUGUAAUCUAUAAUAUCACUGAAAAACAAAAGAAGCCGAAAAAACUAAAAUACCUUGAAAUCCGAUCAUUUUUUGCCAAAAUUGAGUUUAAACUUUAAACUAAUAAAAACACAACACACCAACCGUUUUCCCAACAGUCAGUCAGAGGAGCAAAUGAGUUCCCUUGUGAGAAGGCCGGUUAUCAACUGAUCUACCUUGAGUAUUCUCACCUGAAAGAAAACUCCGACUGGCGAGGUGGAAUACCUUUGGAACGUGAAUGGUCGAUAUUGCGGUAACAUUUAAAUAAAGACUAAAAAUUUAAAUCAUAUUAUAUAUUUUACUAAUGAUUAUUUACAAGUGUUCAAAUACUUACACUAAAAAUUUCAUCCUUAAAAUAAAAAUUCUCACAAACAAACUAAAGUUUUUGUUUUUGCCGAUUCAUUACAAUUAGCUGAUAUGUUUAAAAUUUUCAUCUUUAAAGAAAAAAUUCUCACAAACAAACUAAAAUUUUUGGCUUCAAUUGGUGACCAGGAAAAUGAAUGAAAUGAACAUAAAAAUGUUGAACAAAAUUCCAUUUAAGGAAUUGAAUUGAAAAAAAAAAAUUAAAUAUGCAGGAACGUUUGUUCCUCAUCAAAUUUAGAUGUGGAAAAUACUUUUCAUUAAUUCAUCAAUAUAUGAGGAACAUAGAUGAAUAUGGUGGGGUUCAUAUAUUUUUAAUUUGACAAAAAAUUUAACUUAAUUGGUAUCAAUUUUGAGGAACAACAAAUUCAUCAUCAUUUUGAGGGUCACCAAUUGAAGCUUUUGUUUUUGCCGAUCAUUACAAUUAGCUGGUAUGUUGUUUUCAUAAUACAUCACAACUAUUUUCGAGAUUUAUGCUACAGUUUCAUCAAACAUGCAAUUUUAAAUAUCAAACCGUUUUAAUCGGAUUCUCUUUUGCUUUAGUAAGAAUUAAGUCGACGACAAAAACGAAAAAAAGAUUGAUGCCAUUUUUAAUGCCCUUUUACUUAGCAAACUUUCGAUAUUUGAGUAAUUAAAUCUUAUCUUGUUUGACUAAGAAAACCUAAGUCAAACCGUAAGUAUAUAGGGAAAAAGCAUUAUCUUCUCGGCUAGUGUAUGGACUCGGGACUUAUGGAGUAAUCUUGACUCUUAAGUGAUGAUUUAUCUGUUUUUCAUAAUUACAUCUACUCCUCAAAAUAAAGGAUUAAAUAGAACCGACUUAUGCUUCUUAAUGUUUUGGCGGUAUUUAAAAAUAAUAACUAAAGUAAAUCAAAAAGGUAAAUUUAUCCCAUAUCUUUCUCUCUCUUAUAAUUCUGCCAAAGUAGGCUUUGAUUUCGAUCUUAGCAAAUCAAAACUAAAACAUCUUGUAAUUUUUUUUUGUUUUGUUUUCGAUUUAAUUUAACAUUUAAUUAAAAAAAGAUAAUUAAAAACAUGAUCGGUAGUAUAUUAUAUGAAAUCAUAUUUCGUCAUGUCAGUAAGUCCUUUUUCAAUACAAAAACAGCAUACAAUAACAUAUUCGUAUAGGAGAUAUAACAUUUUAUUAUAUAGUCUUAAUAUUCUUAAUAUAUUUAGUGAUCUGUUGAAACAGCAAGAAUUUUUUUCUUCUAAUUAUUCUUUAUUUUGAUAAAUAGUAUUUGAAAUAACUCCUAAAACAUUUUAAGGAGAAAUGAGAGGUUUUUCUCCAUAUCCUUAUAUCCGAGAGAUUAAGUUAUUCAUUUUCUAUUCAAGAUACUUUCCCAGCCACAAUAUAUAUAUUUAAACUUAUAACCAUUUUAAAAAUUUACCAUGUAAUUAGUUUAGAUGUUUAAAACUAAAGUCCUUAAAUUCUUGUAAAUUAUGUUUACAGUUUUAAGAAAUUCAUAUUUAUAUGCCCUCUUCCUCGACAUAAACUUUCUUCAUAAUAAUCUAUACUCAUCCUUUAUCCAUGACAGGAAAAACUCUAUACAAUUUGUAUUCCCUAAAGUUGCAACUUUUGGUAUCUAUUUAUUUAACCAGUUAUGAUAUAUUUUUUAUAAAAUACUAAUUACAAUUAUGUUAUUUUCAACCAAAUAUCAAAAUUAAACUAUGAUAGUUUUUAUCAUCUAACACAAUAAAUAAGUUCUAUAAUAUUUUUUUCUGAAUUUUCAUUUUAAGGUUGAACAGUUGAAGAAAAGGAAAAAUUAAUCUCCUUACGAGAACAUGAAAGAAUAAGCACUUGCACCUUUUCUAUUUCCAUAUAUACCAUCACUAAUUAAAUAACCAUUGGUUAGUUUUUUUUUGUCAACAACCAUUGGUUAGUUUCAUUAUACCAAAGAAGCUUAGAUACACCAAACAAAUUUCUAAUAUUGAUUUAAAAUAGAAAGACAAAACUCAUUAUAAAAACAUGUUACAUGAGUGGAAACAUUUAAGGAGUUAAAAGUUAAAACUACUGUGAUGUUAAAUCAAAUAUUUACCAGUUAAAUCAAUAUAAUAAAUUUAUUGAAAAUAAAAUUAGUUUUUGUAGAUUAUUUGGUGUUGAAAAUAUUCAAAACAUGCUGAAUAAGAAAAAAAUGUAGAAUACCAAAGUCACAUACCAUUCUCUAAAUUUUUGAUAUUUUUAUAUUCUUCUAAUCGUUUAAAACAAAUAAUUUUACUAUAAAUUAAAUAAUAUAUUUUUAAUUCUCAUAUGAAAAUUUAUUAUUUUUAAUUAUCUAAAAUAAAUAUUAUUGUUUAUUUUUAUUAUAAAAAUAUUGUUAUAUGUAAAAAUUAAAUGUGUGUUGAAUGAUGAGUUGAAAAAAAAGAGAAUAUGAUGUAGAGUGUUAAAAAAUGAAAAAAGAGUGUUAAAUUUUGAAACCAUAGUGAAUAGUAAGUUUUUCUUGUUUGCUAAUUGAAAGCCUUAGGGGGAUGUAUUGGACUAAGAAGUUCAAGUGAAUUUGGUUUUUCUUUAAAAUCUCCUGUUAUUCAACUAAUGAUUUCAUAAUAUUAGUUCAAAUCAUCUGUUAUUGAAUAUAGAAUUUAUGUAAAAGUAUUUAAAGUCACUUGAAAUCUUCUGUUAUUCAAUCAACAAUUCGAAAAACCUAUAUCAAAUCUACUGUUAUUGAAAACAAAUGAUUUUUUCAAGAGUUUGUUAAAAGAAAGGAUUUCGGAAGAUUUUGAACCCUUCUUUUACUUUAAAAUAUGCAUAGUGAAAUCUCACAUACACAGAUGUUAUUUGAAGAGAUUUUAUAAAAACUCGUACGUUUAGAAAAGUUGCAGAAAGUUGACAAAAAUAUUCCAGAUCUUUUUAUGAUUAAAUUUGAUUCAAAUUUCAUUAUUCUCUUUUUUCUUGUUAUCAAUAGUUUCUCUUUUGACUAACGUUAUCAGCAGUUUUCAUUCCCAGAUUCUUCCUCAAUCCUUCUGUAAGUGGUCAAACUAUGAGCUUCAGUUGAAUUGUUGCUUAAAUUUACGAUAUAAUUUGGCAGAUAUUCUAUGGGAUUCAGUAAUUAAUGCUCGUGUCUAUUUCGUGUUUACGUCCGAUGGUAGGAUCCAAUGAUUCUCAUUUGCAUCUGAUUUUUUAUCGUUUUAAGUUUAUAAAUCUAUAGAGGAAGUGUGUAUUAUAUUAUAAGAGAUAACUUAUGCUUGUUUUGUUGGUAAGAGUAAUCUGUAUAUUUGUAUUGGAAUUUUGCAAGAUUUCACUUUUAGUUUUCCAGAAGAACAAAUUUCCGGAACUUUUUCUAUGUUUCUAAUUUUUUUAGUUGACGAUUUUUUUUGUUUGUUUGUUUUACCAUCUGUGUAAAAUUUGAAAGGCGUGCAUUUAAAGCUCAUGUAUAAUUGAGCUUCCAUUGAAGCAUAACUAGCUUUUCCAGAAUUUUUUUUUUUUUUUUUGGUCGAAGCUCUCCCAGAAUUUCACCUUGAGAAGAAUAUAGUGGUUUUCCCAAGUCAUCCAAAACACUCUAAAACUUAAAAUACAGUUUUUUUACCAAAACACUGAUCUUUCUAAAAUCCAAACAAAAUUACAGAGUUAUCACCUAAAAUCACUUUAAAUUCCAAUAAUUUUAAAACCCACCAAAGCAUUCUAAAAUCAUUAGUUCAAUACACCCCCUUAAUUUUAAAAGAUUUUGAAUAUUUGUUUAGUGACUAUACAAUCGCUAUAUGAUUUUUUGUAUUUUAGCUUUACAUGUAUGGUACUAGAACCUAUUUUCCAAUAGAUAACUAUUCUUCCAAGUAUCCUAGUGGUUAGUUCAACCACGCUUACCUCAAAAAUUCUUAAUUGACAAAUAACCGAAAAAAAAAAAUUUACUGACAUAAAUAACCAAAUUAAUUUUUAAUAACCUUCCAACAUACAUUACUAUAUAUUAAGAUCGAAACCUUGCAAUCACUUGCAUCCAAGAAAGCCACUCAUGUUACUGUAAACCUACAUAGAACUCUAUCGUACUAGUCUUGGUUCGAUUCCGAUACUACUUAUAAAAGUCAUAUAAACUCUUCGUGUGUCUACGGCCUCGUCUUGCGGUUGGACACAUUAAUUUUAAGAAGCUUGAAACACUUCAUAUUAUCUUUUUUUCAUGCUUUGGAUUUAGUCCAGGGUAUGACAAACCAGUUUUGAUAUGUAAUCCAUUUUUUCACUGAUCUAAUUUUAAGCCUGUUUAAUUUUGAAGUUUAACUGAUCUAAUUUAAGCCUGUUUGAUUUUGAAGUAGUGUAAAAUAAAUAGCGAGAUCCUCCUUUACGUGCAACCAGAAUCAUACUCCCGAAGUGUUAUAUUGUUGGUAAUGUUUUUCGCUGGAUAAAUUAAUUCAUCAUCAUUAAGUGUUAAAAAACUUACAAGACAUUCUAAGAUUGAAGGAUUAAAGUUUUAUUUUAUUUAUAUUAUAUUAGAUGAUGUUCCACACCUUGUACGAAUUAAUAUAUCUAUAUAUCUAAGAAUUUUUAAUUCUAAUGUUUAUUUUUAUAAAAAAUAAUAAUUAAAUUAGAUAAAACUUUUAAUUUAUAUUAUAAAUUACAAAACUUCAAUAUUUAUAUUGGUAAUCAAUGUAUUAAAUUAUGUUAUUUUGUUUUAUAGUUUUAUCUAUGUGAUGUAGAUUUUGAAUCAAAAUAUUUUAUAUAGUAAUAAUUAAAUAAAGAAAUUUGUAUUUGAAAUUAAACACAUAUUGUAUUUAGAUUGAAAAGAAAUAAUGUGGCACUGAACGGAUUAUAAAAAAUCACAUAAAACAUCAACAAAAAUGAUAGUAUAGGAGUGUUCAAUCCAGUAAAAACCAAACCAUUUAAAACUGAACUAAAUUGAAAUAAAAAUAGUCUAGGUUUGGUAGUACCGAAUAAACCAAAUGAAUAUUAUUUUUAAGAAACUGAAGUAUAUGGACAUGGUUCAGUAUAUUAAGCGAUCAAACUGAAUAAACCACAGAAACCGACUAAUUCAGAUAUAUUAGCAUACUUAUAUAUAUAUUUUAUAAUAAUCUAUAUUUAAUCAAUAUUUUCAGUAAAAAUUAGAGAACUGGGUAUAAUAUUAUUUAUUAAAAUCAUAAACCAAAUAUAAGAUAAAAGUAAUGAUGAUAUUAUCGGUAGACAUUGUUAAUAACUUAAUAUCAAUUGUUAAUAUCUAUUUAAUUAAAUAUCUUAAAUAUCAUGAUAAUUAAUAUUAAAAUAUUUUUAAAAAAUAAUAGUAUAUAUAUCAGUAGAAUAUGUUAAUGUUUAUUAAUUAUCUUAAAUAUCAUGAUAAAUAUAUAGAUAUCAAAAUAAAAUUUUAAAUAAUAAUAUUAAUUAAACUAAUGACUUAUCCUAAAAUUGUGGAAAAUGUGACAAGUAAGCAUAUUAACUAAAAUUAUUGAGAAGGUGAUAAUGAAGCGAAUUCACUUCUCAAAUAAUGUAUAUAUAUACAGUAGAAUUUUUAUAAAUUAAUACUCGAUAAAUUAAUAAUCUCUAUAAAUUAAUAAAUUUCGUCAGUUCCAACUUUGACCGGUUUAAAAUUUGAUACAAAUCGAUAAAAUAAUAAGAUUAUAUUUUUUAGAAAAUUCUAUGUAAAUAUAUGGUCUCAUUAAAAUGAUAAAUUAAUAAAUUAUAUAUAUAUACAUAUUUUAUAUAAAUAAUAACCUAUUAUUAUAUGUUUGUUGUAUAUUCACAAUGGACAUAUCUUUAUAUUUUCUUAACACUUAAUAUAUUUUUGAUGAGAUUUUGUAAUAUUCUAUCUAAAGCCACAUUUAAGUUAUAUGUAAUAUAUAUUAUAUACACCAAAUAAUAUAACAAAAUUAAUAUAAAUGUUUAAUUUCAAAUAAUAAUAAUUAAUAUCUAUACACUAAAAUCGAAUAUUUUUCUCAUCUUAGAAUAAAUAUAUCUUAAAAUAAGAAAUUUAAAUAAGAAAAAAUUUGUAAAUUAAUAUCUCUAUAAAUUAAUAAAAUUUCAAAGUUCCAAGGACAUUAUUUAUUUAUAGAAGUUCUACUGGAUAUGGAUAUAGUUCCUUAUCAUACAUAUUGUUUCUGUCCCUAUUGUCCUUUUCCAGUCGACACACGAUUUUUUUAGUCAAAGGAAACAAAAAAAUCCCACUAAGAUUAGAAAGAAAAUGAUUUUAUGUUAAAAAGAAAUCAAAACUAUUGUAGAGCCACAUGUCGAGAUAAAAAAAAUAGAGAUGUAUAAAUAACAUCAAUCUCUGCAACUAUAAAUAGAGCGUUUUAUCCUCCAAAAGGCCCAACCAAUACCACAUUAAAAAAAAAAGUUCCACUCUGUUUCUUUUUCAUUUGCAUAAAUCAUUUUGCCUCCAAAAGGCUUCUGGGCUCUGUCUCUCUGUCUCUUUUAUCUCUACUCCGCUCAAAACAAUUUUACUCGCCUCAACAAACAUGUGUAAUUUAACACCAUCUUCUUCCUCUUCCUUACUAUCAUCUCCCAAAGAAAAAAACAAUUUCUCAAAACUCGAAACCUGUGAUGCAGACCAUCCCCAUUAUUCUGACUUUACCGAUGAUGGUUCCCGAGACCUUAAUAGAUGGCCAACUUUUCUCGAGGUAUACUAACUCUUUUCAUUAAAAAAUAAAAAUUAUAUUUUCAUUAAAAAUAAAAAUUAUACUACUCUUUUUUUCUCAAAAACUCCAUUCAUCGUUUGGAUUUUUUUGCAGAGGUUUUUAUUCGACUAUAAAAAUUAAUGAUUAACUAUAUUGUUAAAAAGUAAAUAAAUCAUUACCUAAAAAAUAUAAAAGUUCGGUUUGAUUAAAAUAUCUACAGACGUGGACGGUUCUUGUUCUUGACUUGCUUUUGUCUUUGAUAAUUUGGCGGCAGGGCUUAGAGGAAGUGAAAGCGAUUGGAAGAAUCUCAGGGCCGACGGCAAUGACCGGACUUCUUAUGUACUCAAGAGCAAUGAUAUCGAUGCUGUUCCUUGGCUACCUCGGCGAACUUGAGUUAGCCGGAGGAUCUCUCUCCAUCGGCUUUGCCAAUAUCACCGGCUACUCCGUCAUCUCCGGCUUGUCCAUGGGGAUGGAGCCAAUCUGCGGGCAAGCUUACGGUGCUAAACAAAUGAAGCUUUUAGGACUAACCCUUCAAAGAACCGUCCUCCUCCUCCUCUCAUGCUCGGUCCCCAUCUCCUUCUCUUGGCUCAAUAUGAGGCGAAUCCUCUUGUGGUGCGGCCAAGACGAAGGGAUCUCUUCCGUUGCGCAAAAUUUCCUUCUCUUCGCCAUCCCUGACCUCUUCCUCCUCUCUCUGCUUCACCCUCUUCGUGUUUACCUCCGAACACAGAACAUUACAUUGCCCGUGACUUACUCCACGGCCGUCUCCGUCCUCCUUCACGUUCCGUUGAACUUUCUUUUUGUGGUGAAGCUCGAGAUGGGAGUCGCGGGAGUCGCUAUUGCUAUGGUCUUAACCAAUCUCAACCUCGUAGUCCUCUUAUCUUCUUUUGUAUAUUUCACAAGCGUGCAUAGUGAUACAUGGGUCCCACUUACUGUGGACUCUCUUAAAGGUUGGUCGUCUUUGCUCUCGCUUGCAAUACCCACUUGUGUAUCCGUUUGUUUGGAAUGGUGGUGGUACGAGUUCAUGAUCAUUUUGUGUGGACUUUUGGUUAACCCAAGAGCCACCGUUGCUUCCAUGGGAAUCUUGAUCCAAACAACAGCUUUAGUCUACGUCUUCCCAUCCUCUCUCAGCCUCGGUGUCUCCACAAGAAUCAGUAACGAGCUUGGGGCUAAACGCCCAGCGAAGGCUCGUAUAUCCAUGAUAAUUUCCCUCUUCUGCGCGACCGCCUUAGGCCUAAUGGCAAUGGUGUUCACCGUGCUUGUUAGGCACCGAUGGGGACGCUUGUUCACCACGGAUGUAGAGAUUCUUGAGCUGACUUCAAUUGCAUUGCCCAUCGUGGGUCUAUGUGAACUCGGGAACUGUCCUCAAACGACCGGUUGUGGUGUUUUGAGAGGCUGUGCAAGACCAACACUCGGUGCCAACAUAAACUUGGGUUCGUUUUACUUUGUGGGCAUGCCGGUGGCUAUUCUCUUAGGGUUCUUUUUCAAACUAGGAUUUCCAGGUCUCUGGUUUGGCUUGCUUGCGGCUCAAGCGACAUGUGCUUCUCUCAUGCUGUUUGCACUCUUGAGAACAGAUUGGGCAGUCCAAGCAGAGAGAGCUGAAGAACUGACGUCAAAAACACCGGGAAAAACUCCUCCUCUCCUCCCAAUUGCCAGGACUAAGAGCAGGUCUCCACCAGAUACAGAUGAUAUGAUGAAAACCAUGUUGGUUUAGAUUGAUAUCUAUUCUUUGGAGUCAUUUGCCUUCAAUGUUGACGUACAAAUAUUCUUGUCAAACAUCAUUUUUGGAGUUUAUAUUACUCCUUAAUUUUUACUUCUUUUUUUAACAUAAGAACCACUUUGUUUUGUGGGCUUUAUUGGUGUUUUAUUUUAUCUAUGGUUGUAUGGAUGUAAUAGUUUCUAGAUUUGACUUUACCAGUUUGUACUAUAUUUGUUUCCUUCUGUAAUAACUCAUUCGGAUUAGCUUUAUCUUAGUAUGUUUUGUGGUAGAAGAUCGAUAUUUAAUUGGCUUUGAUUAGCUUUAUUUUCGUACGUUAAGCUACGAAUAUAAUAAAAUGAAAAAUUAAACUCCACUGCAUCCAACUUCAAAACUACGGCAUUAGAACAUCUCCGACCCCACUCCAUAAUUUACUGCAAAAUGGAGUGGAAAAUGGAGUGAUGAACAAACAAAAAACUCAUUAUUCCAUUCACUUUUUUAUUUGUUCAUCACUCCAUUUUCCACUAUAUUUUACAGUAAAUUAUAGAGUGGGGUUGAAGAUGUUCUUAGAGCAUGUACAACCAUUAAAUUCUUACGCUGAGUGUUUACAUGAAUAAAUAAUAUAUUUUAAUUUUUAUGUUCAAAUGAAAUAUAAAUGGACAAGAAAGUAAUACACAUAGGAGAAGAAGUUUCAUAUAGGUUUCUAAUAAAUCCGUAAAUCAAAUACUUUCUUUCUUUUCUUUCUACAUUUUUUUAUAAUUUAAAUUCUGACAAAAACUCCUGUAAAAAUCUGUUGUCGGAGGUGGUCUUACAAUCUUGAGGAAACUAUUAUUAAAAGUAUUUUUAUCCUUAAGAAACUGUGAAGAUUUCUCAAAAGAUAAAAAAUAAAAAUAUUCUUGAUUAGAAAAUUAUUUUAGUUUUUUAAUAAUUAUACCACUAAUUAAUUAUAUGUGUUAUUUGAGUAUCUCAUAGUAAGUAUUUGAAAACUUUCAAACGAGAAACCGAUGAAAAAUUUUCCGUUUUUUCUUACUUUUAUUUAGUUUUAGUUACACUUCUUUUUUUACUUUUUAUUAUUUAUAUUUAGUUUUAAUUAUGAUAUAUCUUGCAAGAAUUUUAGUUGGAGAAGCUCUAACAUAUAUUGGUAUCAGUAAAAACUGUAAGCAAAAUACAAUCGGAAUAACUUCCGAUAAAGUAAAAGCGUAGAAUAUUUUCCAAAAAGAUUAAUUUUUGCCAAUUGUAUUUAUUCUUUUAUUGUGGAAACUUUGCUGAUUUAACAAUCAAUUCUUUUCUUAAGGACAGGCAAGAUGCAUCUUUAUUUUUUAAACUUUUUGGUUUGUUCCAUGUUCCAUAAAAGGAAAUAUAUUCACAACCAAAAAUGGGAAAAAUCCCUUUAAACUCUAUCAUAUUCUUUGUCUCAGAGCCAUCAGAUUCGAUACGUUUAAAAUUUCAAUUGCGUUCACAUUAUUUGAUUUUGUUUGCUUCUUUAAUCUGAGAGAAGCAUCUUUUUUCCUCCUUGACACAAAACUAUCCGCUCUUUUUUUUCUUGGGACCAGAACAUGAAUUUAUACGAACUACACAGGCUCAAACAAUGUGGCCAAAGAAUAAAACAAUAAUAUGACAAGUAACUAAAAUAAAACUGAGUGGAAUUAAUAAUGCGUCUACGUGUCGACACUAUGAAUUAUCUUUGAUAUUUUUUUUUGCAUAUACUUAAAAGAAAUAAAAUGAAGUAAAACCUCAAUUGAGUUCCAUUGGCUUGCUAAAAAAUUCAUUGGGUUUCAUUGGCCAUCUAUGAAAAAGUUUGUAUAUCAUUGGCACGAAAGAAAAGACAAUUUGUAUUAUAUACUUUGCGCGUCCACCUAUUGUUUUUAUUUACACGUGAAUAAUUUAUUUUGUAUCUUUUUGCUAAACACUAUGCUGUCAAUCAUACUCUAAUGUUUACAUCUGAAACCAAUGUUUUGUUGAAUGUAAGUUAUAUUUUAUUGCCGACAAACAUGGAAAACUACCCCUAAGUCGAACAUGUGAGUAUUACUUAUGCGCCUGGUGACAUUUCUUCUGCUUAAUAAGUUCUGAAUAUUUGACCUACGAUCCUUUUAUCCCGAAACCAGUUUUGAUAACCGAUGCUAAGACGUAAAUCAUUCAAGCAAAGUUAAGUAUCAGAACAAGGACUCAGCAUUCUCUCAAAUGUAUGAUAUCCACAAGAGCUAGUGAGCUACGUAUGUUGGUUCUAUGGCACAUGUUUUGUACCUCAUUGAUCCAAAAAGUGAUAUACACAUGUGUACUCAAAUGUAGUAUACAAUAUAAAUGGAGUAAAUACAUCAAUCACAUGUUCUGACCGUCUUUGUUUGGAUCAAACCUUUAACUGUAGCCACAUGCAGCAUUACAUAUAUGUAAAUAUAAUACGCAAUAUAUAAAGACAAGAAAGUUGUAAACAAAUUUGUGUUCAAAUAAAAAUUGAUUUGAAAGAUGCCAAGUCUAUAAAUCUAGCGUGUGGUAAAGCUCGAGUUUGGAGGAGAAAGAGAGUAAGAGUGCCGUAAAGCCUAUCUUAGGCAGGCAGGGUCCCCCACGCGGAGACAUAGAACAUUUACCUUUAUUUCCUGUAAAUAAUAUUACCACUGCAAUCCAUUUGAUCAUUUAUUUGCUUUUUUUUCUUGAAAGAAUUUUAUUUGCUUCUUAACAUCAUCUAGUUUAUCAACUUCUUCUUCAUGAAAUAUGAAUCUUAAUUAGUUUUAAUAGAAGCUCUAUUAGUUUACGAAAUGGUUAAUUAAUGUUUCUACGCCACAAAUAUUGAGGUUUAAUUCUUAGAAGAUAUAAUUUAUACGGUUCAGUUCUGCAAAUCAUGAACUUUUAUAGAACAUAUAUAAUUGUUCGUUAAAUUUUUUUUGUAGUUUUUAAAUAAUAUUUAAUAUAUCAAACAAAAAUGGUUUUUAUAAAAUAUAAUAUUUAUAUGUCAACAAAAGAACAGUUUACAUAAAUACUUUUAGAUCAAAUUGUUUAGGUCGUUACUGUAGAGCAAGGCUUAACUUAUACAAACAAAGCAAAUUUUGACUAUUCUAUUUAUUGAUCUGGAUCCGAGUGAUGUUCAUCCAUCGGGCUAGCACUUCGUCCUCGGUCUCUUGCUUGAAAAGCAGGUUAGUUGAGGUUUAGUCGACUUAAGAUUUGCUUGUGAAUCAUGAUAACAUAACUGAUGAACAAUAAAUAAUAAACUUAAGGUUUUAGAUCGUGCACAAAAAGGUUUUAGAUCAAAAAUAUGGAUUUAGCAAAGAGAUAAUAAUAAAAUGUGGUAGCUAAUAUGUUUCAUAUUUCAGAUCGAGAGGUUUUUUACAAGAACAUAGAAUUGUAAGAACAAAAUAAGUAUGUGUUUAAUAUUGUUCCCACUACUCUGUUUAAUUUGUUAUUGGAUGCAUCAACCGUUAUUAAUUUGGAUGUUUUAGGUGUAUGGAAUUGGAAUGGUUUAGUCUGAAUAAUCUUGAACUAACCAAAAUAUCAAACUGAACUAGACCUAACUUUUUCUGGCUAUCAACUAGUUCUCAGUCUCAUUAUCAAAUCCAACCAAAAAAAAAAAAAUGAACUGGAAUUUCAUAUAUACUCAGAAUUGUUUCUAUAUUUGUAUACAAAAUAUCCAAAAUCUUAAGAAACUGAAUUGAAUAUCCGCACGUCAAGACCUAGUUGCAGUGUUAAUUUCUUAUUUAAUUUUGGUAAAUCGUCAUAUUAAACCCAACGAGCUAGACCUAGUUGCAAUGUUAAUUUAUUAUAUAAUUUUGCUAAAAUCGUUAUAUUAAACCCAACAAGCUCAAGAACAUGUGAUUUUCUUGGGAAUUCUAACUCUAAAAAAAUCAAAUUCAUAACCUUUUUAAUUGGUAUCAGAUUUCAGCAAGUUUUAAUUUCUCAGUUAAAACUCGAUCCUUGCUACCACGGCGCCUCAAAGACCAGUAACAGACGAAAAUAUAAUGACAUUCUCCGAACACUGUAAACCUUCAUCCUAAGGCUUCAAGAUGCUUAACAACAGUCAACGGAAAAUGCCUUUACCACUGUCUUACAAAAUCAACAUGAUCUCUAUCUAGAUCCUAGAGAUGUUCUGCAGCCCGUCAGUUUUCCCAAAAACUGUGCUCACGAGGAAGAACAUGAGGAUGAAGAUUUUAGUGGAAAAUUUUGUUCCGGUUGAUGAACAACAUCAACGACAAGGUAAAUAUGAUUUACGAUCAUGAUUAGCAAUAUGAAGGUAGGUUCUACAUGCGAACAAUAGAGAAUAAGGAUAUUGGAAGGUGAGAUGUUCGAAAAUCGGAGGAAGAUGAUGAUGCUCAACAGCAGAUCUGAGGAUUUAAAUCAGAUUCUCUGGAUGGGACAACCAACUAAGGUGAAUUGGAGAUUAUGAUAUCAAGGAGGAGAAAUGGACUCUCAAGUACAUUAGAAGGGGCUGGCACAAUUUCUGCGGAUGAGCAGAUAUAAAAGUUAAGGCAAGGAAGUAUGAUAGAAAUUAAGGUUUACAAUGGGAAGUGGUAAGUUAUAAUCCAUCGAAGCACCAACAUUAAGGUCAUACAUGAGGCUCUGGAGCAUGAUUGUGCAUGUAACACCAAGAUAAAUACUGAUUGGUGUAUUAACAACUAUGUCUGAUGAAACAAAAACAACAUGAAAUGUGAUGUUAGUUUUGUACAAAGGCUGGACACAAGAUUGAUGUCUGGUUUUCUUGUAAGAACAGCAGAAACAGAGCUGGUAGAUGAAAAAGGGCUUCACUGUACCAAAUAAGGUUAAAAGGAGUUAUAGACAACUUUGUUUUGCUUGAUGGAACUCUGUCCGAGUUGAUUUUGACACAAUGAUGUUAGGAGUUUUCAAGGCUCCUAAUCAAGUGUUGUAGUAUAAAAGAUUGUCGAACCAAUCCUAGGUGAUUCUAAAGCAAAGGGAAUGCAAGUUCAUGCUUAAGCUAAGUGCAAUCCAGUUUUAAAGAUGGUAUGAACUAAGAACUAAAGAGCUAAUGCAAUAAAGUAAUGAUCUUUCUUUCUCAAUAUGAAGCAAGAGGACUCAUGAGACUAGGCAUUUGAUCUUGGGUGAUGUAGAUCCAAUCUAAGGGUGGCAAGCUAUCAAUCAAACACUUUUCUUAUGCCUAGACACUAAGCUAAACAAGCUCUAUCUCUAGAUGAAUGUUGUUUUGGUAAAGCAACUCAAGCAUCUAAUCUCUUAGGUUGAAUGUUACUAAAGCAAACAUGGAUAACAAGUCUAAUAGCAAUCUUAACUCCUUUAGCAACUAAUCUCUUAGGUAAAGCAAGCUAAAAGCAUUGAAGAGCUAGUUAAGGCAUUUCAUCAUACACCUUGUGUGCAGGAAAUGCCUAGAGAUCUAUUUUAGUAUGAUCAAGACUAAAAUAGCAUUGAGAACCCUCAACAAGCAUGAAAACAAGUAGAUCUAACACUAAACACCCUAGAUCUUCUCUAAUCACCCUAGCCCAUGAAUCCAAGAUUAGUCUACUCACUAAUAGACAUGAAUAACCCCAAAACCAUGGAUGAUUCAAGGUUGAAUAUGAUUAGAGAGCAAGAUAAUCAAGCAAGGAUAAAAAAUUAUGAUCAAGAUUAGAUCUUUUUCCCAAAAUUAGCUUUUGAUUAGAUAGAAAACAAGAUAAGUCAUAAUUUUAGGUUUAGAGAGUAUUUAUAGGACUCCUAAAAACCUAGUGGGCCUCAAAAACAAGCCUGAGAAGGUCCAGCAAAACAUGAAAAAUCGACCAAAUAUAGAUCUUGCGCGCGGGUUCGUGACCCCGCUCCAGUGGGUCGCUCCAGCUUCACAGUGGGUUCGCCACCUCGCUCCGGGACGUCGCUCUGGCUUCCUUCGCACUUCAUGGAUUUGGCGCGCGAUGUACCCACCUCGCUCCGUCUUGGUCGCCCCGGUUCUCGAAAGUUGUCGACUGGAUGUUGGGCCCAGAGCGGGUACGCUACGUCUCUCCACAAGGUCACUCCAGGUCAUAGCGGCUACUUGACCCCGCUGCGCUCAACCGCUCCAGAUCAUGCUCGUAUCGCGACGAAAUGCCGAGCGGGUUGAUGAUGUCGCUGCGAGAGGUCGCUCCAGGUUAGAGCGGGUUGCUCACCUUGCUCCAGUAGGUCGCUCCAGCUCCUCUACUCGCCCAAUGAUCAUUUUCUACUUCUUUUUGAAUCACAAUGCUCCCAAACAUCUCCAAUCACUCCAUAGCACUCUCCAACACCUAAUAAAGACAAUGCAUGCAAUAUGGACUCUAAAGAUGCCUAAUUCCUAAUAAUAAAUAAUAUAUUUUAAUUUUUAUGUUCAAAUGAAAUAUAAAUGGACAAGAAAGUAAUACACAUAGGAGAAGAAGUUUCAUAUAGGUUUCUAAUAAAUCCGUAAAUCAAAUACUUUCUUUCUUUUCUUUCUACAUUUUUUUAUAAUUUAAAUUCUGACAAAAACUCCUGUAAAAAUCUGUUGUCGGAGGUGGUCUUACAAUCUUGAGGAAACUAUUAUUAAAAGUAUUUUUAUCCUUAAGAAACUGUGAAGAUUUCUCAAAAGAUAAAAAAUAAAAAUAUUCUUGAUUAGAAAAUUAUUUUAGUUUUUUAAUAAUUAUACCACUAAUUAAUUAUAUGUGUUAUUUGAGUAUCUCAUAGUAAGUAUUUGAAAACUUUCAAACGAGAAACCGAUGAAAAAUUUUCCGUUUUUUCUUACUUUUAUUUAGUUUUAGUUACACUUCUUUUUUUACUUUUUAUUAUUUAUAUUUAGUUUUAAUUAUGAUAUAUCUUGCAAGAAUUUUAGUUGGAGAAGCUCUAACAUAUAUUGGUAUCAGUAAAAACUGUAAGCAAAAUACAAUCGGAAUAACUUCCGAUAAAGUAAAAGCGUAGAAUAUUUUCCAAAAAGAUUAAUUUUUGCCAAUUGUAUUUAUUCUUUUAUUGUGGAAACUUUGCUGAUUUAACAAUCAAUUCUUUUCUUAAGGACAGGCAAGAUGCAUCUUUAUUUUUAAAACUUUUUGGUUUGUUCCAUGUUCCAUAAAAGGAAAUAUAUUCACAACCAAAAAUGGGAAAAAUCCCUUUAAACUCUAUCAUAUUCUUUGUCUCGAGCCAUCAGAUUCGAUGCGUUUAAAAUUUCAAUUGCGUUCACAUUAUUUGAUUUUGUUUGCUUCUUUAAUCUGAGAGAAGCAUCUUUUUUCCUCCUUGACACAAAACUAUCCGCUCUUUUUUUUCUUGGGACCAGAACAUGAAUUUAUACGAACUACACAGGCUCAAACAAUGUGGCCAAAGAAUAAAACAAUAAUAUGACAAGUAACUAAAAUAAAACUGAGUGGAAUUAAUAAUGCGUCUACGUGUCGACACUAUGAAUUAUCUUUGAUAUUUUUUUUUGCAUAUACUUAAAAGAAAUAAAAUGAAGUAAAACCUCAAUUGAGUUCCAUUGGCUUGCUAAAAAAUUCAUUGGGUUUCAUUGGCCAUCUAUGAAAAAGUUUGUAUAUCAUUGGCACGAAAGAAAAGACAAUUUGUAUUAUAUACUUUGCGCGUCCACCUAUUGUUUUUAUUUACACGUGAAUAAUUUAUUUUGUAUCUUUUUGCUAAACACUAUGCUGUCAAUCAUACUCUAAUGUUUACAUCUGAAACCAAUGUUUUGUUGAAUGUAAGUUAUAUUUUAUUGCCGACAAACAUGGAAAACUACCCCUAAGUCGAACAUGUGAGUAUUACUUAUGCGCCUGGUGACAUUUCUUCUGCUUAAUAAGUUCUGAAUAUUUGACCUACGAUCCUUUUAUCCCGAAACCAGUUUUGAUAACCGAUGCUAAGACGUAAAUCAUUCAAGCAAAGUUAAGUAUCAGAACAAGGACUCAGCAUUCUCUCAAAUGUAUGAUAUCCACAAGAGCUAGUGAGCUACGUAUGUUGGUUCUAUGGCACAUGUUUUGUACCUCAUUGAUCCAAAAAGUGAUAUACACAUGUGUACUCAAAUGUAGUAUACAAUAUAAAUGGAGUAAAUACAUCAAUCACAUGUUCUGACCGUCUUUGUUUGGAUCAAACCUUUAACUGUAGCCACAUGCAGCAUUACAUAUAUGUAAAUAUAAUACGCAAUAUAUAAAGACAAGAAAGUUGUAAACAAAUUUGUGUUCAAAUAAAAAUUGAUUUGAAAGAUGCCAAGUCUAUAAAUCUAGCGUGUGGUAAAGCUCGAGUUUGGAGGAGAAAGAGAGUAAGAGUGCCGUAAAGCCUAUCUUAGGCAGGCAGGGUCCCCCACGCGGAGACAUAGAACAUUUACCUUUAUUUCCUGUAAAUAAUAUUACCACUGCAAUCCAUUUGAUCAUUUAUUUGCUUUUUUUUCUUGAAAGAAUUUUAUUUGCUUCUUAACAUCAUCUAGUUUAUCAACUUCUUCUUCAUGAAAUAUGAAUCUUAAUUAGUUUUAAUAGAAGCUCUAUUAGUUUACGAAAUGGUUAAUUAAUGUUUCUACGCCACAAAUAUUGAGGUUUAAUUCUUAGAAGAUAUAAUUUAUACGGUUCAGUUCUGCAAAUCAUGAACUUUUAUAGAACAUAUAUAAUUGUUCGUUAAAUUUUUUUUGUAGUUUUUAAAUAAUAUUUAAUAUAUCAAACAAAAAUGGUUUUUAUAAAAUAUAAUAUUUAUAUGUCAACAAAAGAACAGUUUACAUAAAUACUUUUAGAUCAAAUUGUUUAGGUCGUUACUGUAGAGCAAGGCUUAACUUAUACAAACAAAGCAAAUUUUGACUAUUCUAUUUAUUGAUCUGGAUCCGAGUGAUGUUCAUCCAUCGGGCUAGCACUUCGUCCUCGGUCUCUUGCUUGAAAAGCAGGUUAGUUGAGGUUUAGUCGACUUAAGAUUUGCUUGUGAAUCAUGAUAACAUAACUGAUGAACAAUAAAUAAUAAACUUAAGGUUUUAGAUCGUGCACAAAAAGGUUUUAGAUCAAAAAAAUGGAUUUAGCAAAGAGAUAAUAAUAAAAUGUGGUAGCUAAUAUGUUUCAUAUUUCAGAUCGAGAGGUUUUUUACAAGAACAUAGAAUUGUAAGAACAAAAUAAGUAUGUGUUUAAUAUUGUUCCCACUACUCUGUUUAAUUUGUUAUUGGAUGCAUCAACCGUUAUUAAUUUGGAUGUUUUAGGUGUAUGGAAUUGGAAUGGUUUAGUCUGAAUAAUCUUGAACUAACCAAAAUAUCAAACUGAACUAGACCUAACUUUUUCUGGCUAUCAACUAGUUCUCAGUCUCAUUAUCAAAUCCAACCAAAAAAAAAAAAAUGAACUGGAAUUUCAUAUAUACUCAGAAUUGUUUCUAUAUUUGUAUACAAAAUAUCCAAAAUCUUAAGAAACUGAAUUGAAUAUCCGCACGUCAAGACCUAGUUGCAGUGUUAAUUUCUUAUUUAAUUUUGGUAAAUCGUCAUAUUAAACCCAACGAGCUAGACCUAGUUGCAAUGUUAAUUUAUUAUAUAAUUUUGCUAAAAUCGUUAUAUUAAACCCAACAAGCUCAAGAACAUGUGAUUUUCUUGGGAAUUCUAACUCUAAAAAAAUCAAAUUCAUAACCUUUUUAAUUGGUAUCAGAUUUCAGCAAGUUUUAAUUUCUCAGUUAAAACUCGAUCCUUGCUACCACGGCGCCUCAAAGACCAGUAACAGACGAAAAUAUAAUGACAUUCUCCGAACACUGUAAACCUUCAUCCUAAGGCUUCAAGAUGCUUAACAACAGUCAACGGAAAAUGCCUUUACCACUGUCUUACAAAAUCAACAUGAUCUCUAUCUAGAUCCUAGAGAUGUUCUGCAGCCCGUCAGUUUUCCCAAAAACUGUGCUCACGAGGAAGAACAUGAGGAUGAAGAUUUUAGUGGAAAAUUUUGUUCCGGUUGAUGAACAACAUCAACGACAAGGUAAAUAUGAUUUACGAUCAUGAUUAGCAAUAUGAAGGUAGGUUCUACAUGCGAACAAUAGAGAAUAAGGAUAUUGGAAGGUGAGAUGUUCGAAAAUCGGAGGAAGAUGAUGAUGCUCAACAGCAGAUCUGAGGAUUUAAAUCAGAUUCUCUGGAUGGGACAACCAACUAAGGUGAAUUGGAGAUUAUGAUAUCAAGGAGGAGAAAUGGACUCUCAAGUACAUUAGAAGGGGCUGGCACAAUUUCUGCGGAUGAGCAGAUAUAAAAGUUAAGGCAAGGAAGUAUGAUAGAAAUUAAGGUUUACAAUGGGAAGUGGUAAGUUAUAAUCCAUCGAAGCACCAACAUUAAGGUCAUACAUGAGGCUCUGGAGCAUGAUUGUGCAUGUAACACCAAGAUAAAUACUGAUUGGUGUAUUAACAACUAUGUCUGAUGAAACAAAAACAACAUGAAAUGUGAUGUUAGUUUUGUACAAAGGCUGGACACAAGAUUGAUGUCUGGUUUUCUUGUAAGAACAGCAGAAACAGAGCUGGUAGAUGAAAAAGGGCUUCACUGUACCAAAUAAGGUUAAAAGGAGUUAUAGACAACUUUGUUUUGCUUGAUGGAACUCUGUCCGAGUUGAUUUUGACACAAUGAUGUUAGGAGUUUUCAAGGCUCCUAAUCAAGUGUUGUAGUAUAAAAGAUUGUCGAACCAAUCCUAGGUGAUUCUAAAGCAAAGGGAAUGCAAGUUCAUGCUUAAGCUAAGUGCAAUCCAGUUUUAAAGAUGGUAUGAACUAAGAACUAAAGAGCUAAUGCAAUAAAGUAAUGAUCUUUCUUUCUCAAUAUGAAGCAAGAGGACUCAUGAGACUAGGCAUUUGAUCUUGGGUGAUGUAGAUCCAAUCUAAGGGUGGCAAGCUAUCAAUCAAACACUUUUCUUAUGCCUAGACACUAAGCUAAACAAGCUCUAUCUCUAGAUGAAUGUUGUUUUGGUAAAGCAACUCAAGCAUCUAAUCUCUUAGGUUGAAUGUUACUAAAGCAAACAUGGAUAACAAGUCUAAUAGCAAUCUUAACUCCUUUAGCAACUAAUCUCUUAGGUAAAGCAAGCUAAAAGCAUUGAAGAGCUAGUUAAGGCAUUUCAUCAUACACCUUGUGUGCAGGAAAUGCCUAGAGAUCUAUUUUAGUAUGAUCAAGACUAAAAUAGCAUUGAGAACCCUCAACAAGCAUGAAAACAAGUAGAUCUAACACUAAACACCCUAGAUCUUCUCUAAUCACCCUAGCCCAUGAAUCCAAGAUUAGUCUACUCACUAAUAGACAUGAAUAACCCCAAAACCAUGGAUGAUUCAAGGUUGAAUAUGAUUAGAGAGCAAGAUAAUCAAGCAAGGAUAAAAAAUUAUGAUCAAGAUUAGAUCUUUUUCCCAAAAUUAGCUUUUGAUUAGAUAGAAAACAAGAUAAGUCAUAAUUUUAGGUUUAGAGAGUAUUUAUAGGACUCCUAAAAACCUAGUGGGCCUCAAAAACAAGCCUGAGAAGGUCCAGCAAAACAUGAAAAAUCGACCAAAUAUAGAUCUUGCGCGCGGGUUCGUGACCCCGCUCCAGUGGGUCGCUCCAGCUUCACAGUGGGUUCGCCACCUCGCUCCGGGACGUCGCUCUGGCUUCCUUCGCACUUCAUGGAUUUGGCGCGCGAUGUACCCACCUCGCUCCGUCUUGGUCGCCCCGGUUCUCGAAAGUUGUCGACUGGAUGUUGGGCCCAGAGCGGGUACGCUACGUCUCUCCACAAGGUCACUCCAGGUCAUAGCGGCUACUUGACCCCGCUGCGCUCAACCGCUCCAGAUCAUGCUCGUAUCGCGACGAAAUGCCGAGCGGGUUGAUGAUGUCGCUGCGAGAGGUCGCUCCAGGUUAGAGCGGGUUGCUCACCUUGCUCCAGUAGGUCGCUCCAGCUCCUCUACUCGCCCAAUGAUCAUUUUCUACUUCUUUUUGAAUCACAAUGCUCCCAAACAUCUCCAAUCACUCCAUAGCACUCUCCAACACCUAAUAAAGACAAUGCAUGCAAUAUGGACUCUAAAGAUGCCUAAUUCCUAAUCUAUAUGAUCAUAAUGUACAAGAUAUGAAGGCUAAAAACAUGUAAAUAUGCAAGAUAUCAACUCCCCCACACUAGUCCUUUACUUGUCCUCAAGUAAACUUUUCAAAACACAAGGAGGAGAGAUACAAAGAUGGGAGCUUAGCCAAAAGAAACACUCAAUGCACUCAACUUGACAUCCUAAAGAAACAUAGCAAAUAGCAUGAACACACUCUCUUAUUAUACUCUAGCUUCUCUAGGCCUAUAAAUACUCUUAUGUCUCUACACAAGUUGCAAUACUCAUCAACUAACAAGUUCUUUAAACCAGCUCUCACAUUGAUUCACACACACACACACACACACACACAAGGUGAAUUCUCACAAAUGGGCACAUGAUCUCAAUCAUUUGGCUAGGUAAGCAAUGGUCUAAUAUGAAUGAAGAGAAGGAUUCAAAUGUUGUCAUUUCAAGGUGGUUAUCACUCAAGAACAAGGAGCUUGAUCAUUAUGCAAAAUUUAUCUAAGACUAGAAACAACUCAUGCAUACAUAGAUUCAUUCUCAUCAUUCUACCCCUUUUUAUAAGUGAUUACAAGUUCUACCCUUUUAUCAUCAUUUCAAAACCAAAAUAAAACUCACUCACAUCACUCACCCAAUGAACAACUCUCUUUUUCUUUUGAUUCAACCAACUAGGGACUCUAAUUCACUUUUUACAACACUUAGCUCUAACUCUUUCUUAUUUCCCUCCCCACCUUCUCUUUGAUUCUUCUUUUUUUUUUAUAAGGGGAAAGGUUCUUUUGUACAUAAUCUAGAGCUUCAUACUUUCCUUUUGUCCCUAGAGUUUUCUUUUCUAAUCACACUCUUUUGUUCAUCUUUCUCAUCUUUCUCACUCCCCACACCCAAAAUAUUAACAUUUAGAAUACACAAACCCCUCUUACCAUCCCCAAAUGCUAGCUCAUUAUGCUAGCAAGAGAUGAGAACAAAUCUAUGUCGCCUCCAAUACUCUCAAGAUUUUGCACAUGACAAGCUAUCAAUUGAGGUCUCACUCAUGCAAUUCAAUGUUUGGUCUCAAAGAAUGGCUAGGGCUGUAAGGUAUGGAGUGCCAUUUGGGUUAAC